rnacentral:rRNA from 1 species
UGUCUUUUUGAAAAUAAUAUAAAGUCUAAUCUGCCCACUGAUUUUAUAUUAAAGGGCUGCAGUAUUUUGACUGUACAAAGGUAGCAUAAUCAUUAGUCAUUUAAUUGAUGACUUGUAUGAAAGAUUGGAUGAAAUAUAAACUGUCUCUUAAUUAUUAAUAUAAAACUUAAUUUUUUAAUUAAAAAGUUAAAAUAAUUUAAAAAGACGAGAAGACCCUAUAGAGUUUUAUAUUUAAAUUAAUUAAGAUUAUUUAAAAUUUAAAAUUAAAAUUAAUUUAUUUAUUAUAUUGGGGUGAUAGAAAAAUAUAUAUAACUUUUUUUAUAUAAAAACAUUUAUAAGUGAUUAAAUGAUCCAAUACUAUUGAUUAAAAGAAAAAAUUACCUUAGGGAUAACAGCGUAAUUUUUUUUUUUAGUUCACAUAAAAAAAAGAGUUUGCGACCUCGAUGU